ACCUCUUCUCGGCCUUUUGGCUAAGAUCAAGUGUAGUAUCUGUUCUUAUCAGUUCAGAUCUACUGAAGCAGGCUGAAGUCUGAAGAUCUGAAGCUCAGGAAGAGAAUCAUC
ensembl:snRNA U2 U2 spliceosomal RNA